rnacentral:lncRNA from 1 species
CCUUGGGUUUACUCAAAAGCUUAAAUUAGGGAUUUUUUUUUUUUUUUAAACCUGGAUUUCCCAAUUGAUUUGCUGUAGGAUUCUUUGAGAGCACAAACACACCAGUACGUCUAAAAUGAAUCGGUUUGUGGAAAAUCAGCUUAAUUCAACAGACGUUGAGUUCAAUUAUCUGCUCUGCUCAAAACCCUGUAUUGUGGGGAAUCUCAGAGCGGCAGGACCGGGCCCGGCCCCCCGGGAAGCUGGCAUAGCUGGAAGGCUGGGGCCUGGCCGUGACGUAGGUCAAUAACAGAGACCGGUGUGUGGUCGGCACGCCACGAGGCAGGCGUGAUCGGCGUCUGAGGAGGCGGUCCGAGACAGCGGGGUGAGCGCGGCCACGUCCCUACAAAUCCUGACAAAACGCUUUCCGGGCUGUCAGCUCACGGGGUGCGUGUGGGGGGUGUGGGGUUGCAGGUCUGGGGGCCCUUCCGCUACUCAGUGGCAGAUCCUGGCAGGGAUCUCGGUGUUCUGACCCCGAGGCCUCACCCGGAGCCGGUCGGCUCUGCCCUGCCGAGCUAGCCCGGGGAGUGAGCACGCCGCCCUUCGCCGAGUGGCUAGGGUUUGCUCAUGCAGACUGUGAGCAGAAGGCUGCCUGGUUCCCGUGGCAGAGCCGUUUCUGGAGUAACGCCUCACUGGUGGCCCUUGAGGUUUGGGCUCGACGGGUAGCCACUCACACGGUGUCCCCCGUUCUCUUGGAAAGGAGGAUUCCAAAAGGGAAGACGCUUUCGUGGAGGACCCUGGCCGGUACCUUCCCGGAGCACCCGCUGGUCAGCGCGAGGCUGCCGCGGGCCUCCUCCAGAGUACUGUCCUCUGAGGGUGGCGUGGUGUCCCCUCCUUCCGGUGUUUGAUCGCCCUUGGUCUGAAAGCAGCCUCCUCCCGUUGCAGGCGAUGACCGG